rnacentral:rRNA from 1 species
UGAAUCAGUGUGUGUGUUAGUGGAAGCGUCUGGAAAGGCGCGCGAUACAGGGUGACAGCCCCGUACACAAAAAUGCACAUGCUGUGAGCUCGAUGAGUAGGGCGGGACACGUGGUAUCCUGUCUGAAUAUGGGGGGACCAUCCUCCAAGGCUAAAUACUCCUGACUGACCGAUAGUGAACCAGUACCGUGAGGGAAAGGCGAAAAGAACCCCGGCGAGGGGAGUGAAAAAGAACCUGAAACCGUGUACGUACAAGCAGUGGGAGCACGCUUAGGCGUGUGACUGCGUACCUUUUGUAUAAUGGGUCAGCGACUUAUAUUCUGUAGCAAGGUUAACCGAAUAGGGGAGCCGAAGGGAAACCGAGUCUUAACUGGGCGUUAAGUUGCAGGGUAUAGACCCGAAACCCGGUGAUCUAGCCAUGGGCAGGUUGAAGGUUGGGUAACACUAACUGGAGGACCGAACCGACUAAUGUUGAAAAAUUAGCGGAUGACUUGUGGCUGGGGGUGAAAGGCCAAUCAAACCGGGAGAUAGCUGGUUCUCCCCGAAAGCUA